rnacentral:rRNA from 1 species
AUGGCUCCAAGAUUGCUCGUCGUUCUUCCAGUGGUGCUGCUUGGUUUGGCCUUCCAGGCCAUUCUCCGGCCACCACAUACAAAACGUUGCGGCUCGGUAGGUGGACCUCCGGUGACAUCUCCCAGGAUCAAGCUCAGGGAUGGGAGGUACCUCGCAUACCGGGAAGACGGUGUGCAGAGAGACAAGGCCAAGUACAAGAUCAUCACAGUGCAUGCAUUUGAUAGCACCAAGGACUUCCCCUCGCCUGUUUCCAAGGAGCUCGUGGAAGAACUGGAAAUUUACCUACUUGCAUUUGAUAGAGCAGGGUACGGGGAAAGUGACCCAAACCCCGGUCGGAGUGUCAAAAGUGAAGCCUUGGAUGUAGAGGAGCUCGCCGACCAGCUGGAGCUUGGACAGAAGUUCCAUGUCUUGGGUGUCUCCAUGGGAGGAUACACAGUUUGGGGUUGCCUCCAGUAUAUACCUCACAGGCUCGCAGGAGCCGCGCUAGUUGUACCAGUUAUCAAUUACUGGUGGCCUUCUUUCCCGCCAGAGGUGUCCAGGCAGGCUUUCAAGAAGCUCAUUGUACCAGAGCAGAGGACCCUCUGGAUCGCACACAAUGCACCUUACUUUUUAUACUUGUGGAUGACCCAGAAAUGGCUCCCUUCUUCUGCGGCAGCCAUGCAUCAUCCUGAAAUAUUUAGCGACCAUGAUAUGGAGGUGAUUCAGAAAAUGAUGGCAAUGCCGAGAACCAUUGAGAAUAAAUCAAGGCAGCAAGGAAUUUAUGAAUCAAUCCAUCGAGAUUUACUUGUUGCUUUUGGGAAUUGGGAGUUCGAUCCAAUGAAUAUUACAAAUCCAUUUCCUACAAAUGAGGGUUCUGUACACAUCUGGCAAGGAUAUGAAGAUAGGUUGGUGCUGGUUGAGCUGCAGCGGUACCUUUCAAAGAAGCUUCCAUGGAUCCAGUAUCAUGAAGUCCAAGAAGGUGGACAUAUGUUCAUGCUGGUGGGCGGAUGGACCGAUAAAAUUAUCAAGGCACUCUUGGUAGGAGAAGAGGCAUCACCUAUGUGA